UUGGUAGAGCGCUCCACUUGUAAUGGAGAGGUCCCGGGUUCGAUACCCGGACCAGGCG
rnacentral:tRNA from 1 species